GGAGAAAAGCAGGGGAUCGCAAGACCUUGCGCUAAAGGAGCGGCCGAUGUCUGAUUAGCUAGUUGGUGGGGUAAAGGCUUACCAAGGCAACGAUCAGUAGUUGGUCUGAGAGGACGGCCAACCACACUGGGACUGAGACACGGCCCAGACUCCUACGGGAGGCAGCAGUGGGGAAUUUUGGACAAUGGGCGAAAGCCUGAUCCAGCCAUGCCGCGUGAGUGAAGAAGGCCUUCGGGUUGUAAAGCUCUUUUAGUCGGAAAGAAAGAGUUGCAAUGAAUAAUUGUGAUUUAUGACGGUACCGACAGAAAAAGCACCGGCUAACUACGUGCCAGCAGCCGCGGUAAUACGUAGGGUGCGAGCGUUAAUCGGAAUUACUGGGCGUAAAGGGUGCGCAGGCGGUUUUGUAAGUCAGAUGUGAAAGCCCCGGGCUUAACCUGGGAAUUGCGUUUGAAACUACAAAGCUAG
rnacentral:rRNA from 1 species